rnacentral:rRNA from 1 species
GCUCGUAGUUGGAUUUCUGGUGGGAGCGACCGGUCCGACGCUUAGCGUGGGUACUUGUGUCGUCUCCGGCCAUCCUUGGGGAGAGUCUGUCUGGCAUUAAGUUGUCGGGCAGAGGAUCCUCAUCGUUUACUGUGAAAAAAUUAGAGUGUUCAAAGCAGGCUUAUGCCGUUGAAUAUAUUAGCAUGGAAUAAUAAGAUAGGACUUUGGUACUAUUUUGUUGGUUUGCGCACCAAAGUAAUGAUUAAUAGGGACAGUUGGGGAUAUUCGUAUUUCGUUGUCAGAGGUGAAAUUCUUGGAUUUACGAAAGACGAACUACUGCGAAAGCAUUUAUCAAGGAUGUUUUCAUUAAUCAAGAACGAAAGUUAGGGGAUCGAAGAUGAUUAGAUACCAUCGUAGUCUUAACCAUAAACUAUGCCGACUCGGGAUUGGCGGACGUUCUUAUGACUUCGUCAGCACCGUAUGUGAAAACAAAGUCUUUGGGUUCCGGGGGGAGUAUGGUCGCAAGGCUGAAACUUAAAGAAAUUGACGGAAGGGCACCACCAGGUAAGCUUCAUUUGGCUAUUUUAAUCUGUCUUGUUUACGUACCAGAACAGCCGAGCCGCAUUGUAUUAUUCAUUCCU